GGGGGGGCUGUUCAUGUAAAUGAUAUGUAAAUGUGCAUGAGUAUUUUUCUAUAAAUUUUUUCUGACCCUCGCAAACAGGCUUCCCUCUCAAUGAUCAGCUGUUCCAGAUGAUCGCUCGCCGGUAUUCUGACGAAAAUGGGAGUAUGGACUUUGAUAAUUACAUUGGCUGCCUGGUCAGGCUGGACGCCAUGUGCCGUGCAUUCAAGACCCUUGACAAGGACAACAAUGGAACUGUCAAUGUCAACAUUCAGGAGUGGUUGCAAUUAACCAUGUACUCCUGAAACAUGAAGAUAUGAAACUACAGUCACCCCUUACAGUCACGUUAGCGAGGGUUAGGGGGAGGAAGAUCCCCUCAAAUGUGCAAAUUCGCGAGUAAUACUUGGGUCCACUGUUAAAAAUGUAAAAUUAAGGGAACUCAAAAGUUACUAUGAGAUGUGAUUUUCGUGACUUCACUAAUUUGCUCCCUUGUAUAUGUCUUAUGCUUGUGUCCUCUACAUGAGCUUUUAAGGCAUAAACAAACAAACUUUGGUCUUUUGUGCCUUGAAAUUCCAUUUCUGUGAUAUGUAUAAACAGAGCAUAGGUGCAUUACCUAUUAUGUGCAAACUCUGGUUGCAGUAUACAAUACAAUCACUAGAUGGCAUACUAGUAACAUGCCAAGCAAGAACCUGGACAAGAUGUUAGUCUUUCUUUUCUUCAGUCUGUCUCUUUGUGACGGUGCAUUAUUAAAAAAAAUCUCAAUAAAAGAAUGAUUAUCACUUGA